AUAUUGUCCUUCCCCCUAAGGCGAGGCAGAGAUGCGUAGCUGAUGGGAAGCAGGUUAAUAUUCCUGCACCGUCGUAUGAUGCGAUGGGGGGACGGAUCGCGGAAGGUUGUCCGGGUGUUGGAUGUCCCGGUUUUUUGACUCAUAGAAGGCGCUUAGGCAAAUCCGGGCGCGGAAUUCAAUGGGUCGAGACGAGAGACUUAGGUCUCGAAGCAAUCGGAAGUGGUUCCAAGAAAAGCCUCUAAGCUUCAGUCAUACGAGACCGUACCGCAAACCGACACAGGUGGGCGAGAUGAGUAUUCUAAGGCGCUUGAGAGAACUCGGGAGAAGGAACUCGGCAAAUUGGUACCGUAACUUCGGGAAAAGGUACGCCUCUGUAGUUUGACCACUUUACUGUGGAAGGACGAAAAGGUUGCAAUAAACUGGUGGCUGCGACUGUUUAAUAAAAACACAGCACUCUGCAAACACGAAAGUGGACGUAUAGGGUGUGACGCCUGCCCGGUGCUGGAAGAUUAAAUGAUGGGGUGCAAGCUCUUGAUUGAAGUCCCAGUAAACGGCGGCCGUAACGAUAACGGUCCUAAGGUAGCGAAAUUCCUUGUCGGGUAAGUUCCGACCUGCACGAAUGGCGUAACGAUGGCCACACUGUCUCCUCCCGAGACUCAGCGAAGUUGAAAUGUUUGUGAUGAUGCAAUCUACCCGCGGCUAGACGGAAAGACCCCAUGAACCUUUACUGUAGCUUUGCAUUGGACUUUGAACCAAUCUGUGUAGGAUAGGUGGGAGGCUUUGAAGCGGGGACGCCAGUUCUCGUGGAGCCAACCUUGAAAUACCACCCUGGUUUGUUUGAGGUUCUAACCUUGGUCCGUUAUCCGGAUCGGGGACAGUGCAUGGUAGGCAGUUUGACUGGGGCGGUCUCCUCCUAAAGUGUAACGGAGGAGUUCGAAGGUACGCUAGGUACGGUCGGACAUCGUGCUAAUAGUGCAAUGGCAUAAGCGUGCUUAACUGCGAGACUGACAAGUCGAGCAGGUACGAAAGUAGGACAUAGUGAUCCGGUGGUUCUGUAUGGAAGGGCCAUCGCUCAACGGAUAAAAGGUACUCUGGGGAUGACAGGCUGAUUCCUCCCAAGAGUUCAUAUCGACGGGGGAGUUUGGCACCUCGAUGUCGGCUCAUCACAUCCUGGGGCUGUAGCCGGUCCCAAGGGUAUGGCUGUUCGCCAUUUAAAGUGGUACGUGAGCUGGGUUUAAAACGUCGUGAGACAGUUUGGUCCCUAUCUGCCGUGGGCGUUGGAAAUUUGAAGGGGGCUGCUCCUAGUACGAGAGGACCGGAGUGGACAGACCUCUGGUGUACCGGUUGUCACGCCAGUGGCAUUGCCGGGUAGCUAAGUCUGGAAUAGAUAACCGCUGAAAGCAUCUAAGCGGGAAACUUGCCUUGAGAUGAGAUUUCCCAGAGCCUUGAGCUCUUUAAAGGGUCGUUCGAGACCAGGACGUUGAUAGGUCAGGUGUGGAAGUUAA
rnacentral:rRNA from 1 species